rnacentral:rRNA from 1 species
CCUACGGGAGGCAGCAGUGGGGAAUUUUGCGCAAUGGGGAAACCCUGACGCAGCAACGCCGCGUGAGUGAUGAAGGCUUUCGGGUCGUAAAGCUCUGUCAGAGGGGAAGAAAUGGGACGUGCUAAUACCACGUUUUCUUGACGGUACCCUCAAAGGAAGCACCGGCUAACUCCGUGCCAGCAGCCGCGGUAAU